GGGGAUAUAUCUCAGUGGUAGAGCACUUGCCUAGCACACAUGAGGCCCUGGGUUCAAUUCCCAGUACCAUCA
rnacentral:tRNA from 1 species